rnacentral:rRNA from 1 species
GGAUUUAGUAGACAGAAGCCUCGGUGGAAGAUUACUAAUGAGAGUGGCGAACGGGUGAGUAACGCGUGAGCAACCUGCCUAUGACAGUGGGAUAGCCUCGGGAAACCGGGAUUAAUACCGCAUAAAAUCGUAGAAACACAUGUUUUAACGGUCAAAGAUUUAUCGGUCAUAGAUGGGCUCGCGUCUGAUUAGCUAGUUGGUGAGAUAACAGCCCACCAAGGCGACGAUCAGUAGCCGGUCUGAGAGGAUGAACGGCCACAUUGGAACUGAGACACGGUCCAAACUCCUACGGGAGGCAGCAGUGGGGAAUAUUGCACAAUGGGGGGAACCCUGAUGCAGCGACGCCGCGUGAACGAAGAAGGUAUUCGUAUCGUAAAGUUCUGUCCUAUGGGAAGAUAAUGACAGUACCAUAGAAGAAAGCUCCGGCUAAAUAC